GGCUUUAUAGUCAAAUUUAUGAUGUUAGAUUGCAAGUCUGAAGUUGUAUUUAAUUACUAAAGCUU
rnacentral:tRNA from 1 species